rnacentral:lncRNA from 1 species
AUGAUGCUGGGCAGAACAGCUAAGCCUGCACAAAGAAAUAUCUUUCAAACAUGCUGGAAGCUCCAUGGAGACCAGUCUUGUGACAUGGUUACACCAUCACAGACAUGUUCCCAGUGCAGUGGUUGGUGGGUGCCUCUUGCCAACCUGCCUGAGACAAGAGUGGAACAUGUGUGUCAGGGUUGCCAAACAUUUGCUGGGAGCAGAGAUACCCCAAAACUGUUGGAGGGAAGUUUCACAUAUGUAUUAAAACCUCAUCAAGGUCCCUUUCCCACUCUACUGAGUUUUGUGGCUGAUUCUGGUCAAACUCCUUGCACCAAGUCCCCACACUGUUGCUGUUAUUUCAGUGUGCAGCCAACUCUUUGCAUCACCUGUGCUUCUACAAGGGGUGAUACUGGAAAUGGCAGAUGCAAAUAUGAAGCCCUAGCAGUAAAAUGGGAAGAAUCAGCAGUAGCACAGAGCUGUUUUCAUCUCCGUUGUUGA